rnacentral:rRNA from 1 species
GAUGAACGCUGGCGGCGUGCCUAAUACAUGCAAGUCGAGCGAACAGACGAGGAGCUUGCUCCUCUGACGUUAGCGGCGGACGGGUGAGUAACACGUGGAUAACCUACCUAUAAGACUGGGAUAACUUCGGGAAACCGGAGCUAAUACCGGAUAAUAUAUUGAACCGCAUGGUUCAAUAGUGAAAGACGGUUUUGCUGUCACUUAUAGAUGGAUCCGCGCCGCAUUAGCUAGUUGGUAAGGUAACGGCUUACCAAGGCAACGAUGCGUAGCCGACCUGAGAGGGUGAUCGGCCACACUAGAACUGAGACACGGUCCAGACUCCUACGGGAGGCAGCAGUAGGGAAUCUUCCGCAAUGGGCGAAAGCCUGACGGAGCAACGCCGCGUGAGUGAUGAAGGUCUUCGGAUCGUAAAACUCUGUUAUUAGGGAAGAACAAAUGUGUAAGUAACUAUGCACGUCUUGACGGUACCUAAUCAGAAAGCAACGGCUAACUACGUG